UGCAAGUCGAACGGCAGCGGGUCGUAGCAAUACGAUGCCGGCGAGUGGCGGACGGGUGAGGAAUACAUCGGAAUCUACCUUGUCGUGGGGGAUAACGUAGGGAAACUUACGCUAAUACCGCAUACGACCUACGGGUGAAAGCGGCGGACCGCAAGGCGUCGCGCGAUUGGAUGAGCCGAUGUCCGAUUAGCUAGUUGGCGGGGUAAAGGCCCACCAAGGCGACGAUCGGUAGCUGGUCUGAGAGGAUGAUCAGCCACACUGGAACUGAGACACGGUCCAGACUCCUACGGGAGGCAGCAGUGGGGAAUACUGGACAAUGGGGGCAACCCUGAUCCAGCCAUGCCGCGUGUGUGAAGAAGGCCUUCGGGUUGUAAAGCACUUUUGUCCGGAAAGAAAAGCGCUGGGUUAAUACCCCGGUGUUAUGACGGUACCGGAAGAAUAAGCACCGGCUAACUUCGUGCCAGCAGCCGCGGUAAUACGAAGGGUGCAAGCGUUACUCGGAAUUACUGGGCGUAAAGCGUGCGUAGGUGGUUCGUUAAGUCUGUCGUGAAAGCCCCGGGCUCAACCUGGGAAUGGCGAUGGAUACUGGCGGGCUAGAGUGCGGUAGAGGAGAGUGGAAUUCCCGGUGUAGCAGUGAAAUGCGUAGAGAUCGGGAGGAACAUCAGUUGCGA
rnacentral:rRNA from 1 species